GUACCCCCCGGGCAUGUUACAAUGAGCUUAUCCUUCCGCCUCAACGGGUGGUUGCUUAGAGGCUACUGGCGAGCCUGGGAGGUACAUGUUCCCUUUUCUGUCUUUUCAAUUCUGUUUUUCAUUGCUUGUACAUCACACAGACUACGCGCACGCAAUCUGCUUUACACUAGUUGUACACUGCACAUACCGCACAAUACACUGCACGUACCGCACUCUGCUUUAUCUGCAUACUGCUUUAUUUGAUAAGCAUACUCACAUCUGCUCUGUUGCAUUCUAUAGUUGUGGGUGUAUGCCUACUUUCCUAGGCUUGCUCCAGUGCCGGAUGAGGAGAUGCCCCUCGGCGUUCCAUUUUCUCACCGCUUUGAUGUGAGAUGCGAGUGGAGGCCACGAGAGUCCUUCAUGUUCUUCCGCCGCUAUUUUGACACCAUUACCACAGCCGAGAUCACUUGGCAACCUUGGGCCCCGUUGCCUGACGUAGUUCGGGAGUAGUAUGUCGGUGCUCGAGAGACUGCCCAUUUCAGAGUUCUACUAGAGGGCCCAGUCUACCGCGCUUGGUACUUGGGUGAGCGCUGCUUGCGGUAGACCCUCGGCUUACCGAAGCAGGUAGUCCCGAGGCCGCCUCCCACCCAUAUGAGGCAUACUAAAUGGUAUACCUUUGAGGAGAUGAUGGAUUACACCAUCGGCUGGGACUCUGAGGGCUUUAGAGACGAGGGUGACUACGCCGAGUACAUCCAGGCUUAUAUCAUGCGGCCUUUGACUGGUGCUCGUCGAGCAGAGUGAGAGAGGCCAGCGAUGCCAGUAGCGGGAGUAGGGGCACCUUCGGCACCUCUGGCCCGAGGCAGUAGUGGGUCCCGGAGGGGGCAGGGAGCUGGAUGGCCAGAGCUUCCCACGACUAUCACAUGUCGAGGACAGGGUGGGGAGACUUAUCAGAUUCCCUUCGCUCCUCCUCCGGCUGAUUAUGAGCUUGUCAGAGUCUAUGGCUCGACCCCGAUAUGCUUCUGUCGAGUACACUCGGCAGUCCUUGGAGUUGACAGCCUCAGUGGUGGGGAUGCUGCAGCGGUGCAUCGGCUUGUUGACCAUCUACAAUAUCCCGGCCCCAUUCCAGAUUCCAGUUGCGAGAGGCGCUCCAGCUAGACUAUCUGUUCCUGCUUGAGGAAGAUGGGGAGCCAGGCGGGGGAUGACUAUCCACGGCCGAGGCAGACACAGGCGCACCCGUGCUGAGAGCAGUUCACGAGAGCCCUCUCCUGAUGAUUCUGAUGAGGAGGCGGCGUCGUCCUAGGGUGAGGCCGGAGACAGCUUAGACUCUGACUACGGAGAUGGCGUGGUGAUCCUGGACCCUCACCUAGGAAGAGGACCAAGACCGACUCCCGCACUUGAGACCACUGAUGUUGAUCCAGACUUUCUGCUGCUUUUCUUCUUUUUUUGUUCUGUUCAGACACUUUGUCGCUUUUCUCCUCUUUUUGUUUUGCUUUAUUUUUAUUUUUACUGGUAG